UAGAGUUUGGAUCAUGGCUCAGAUUGAACGCUGGCGGCAGGCCUAACACAUGCAAGUCGAGCGGAAACGAUGGAAGCUUGCUUCCAGGCGUCGAGCGGCGGACGGGUGAGUAAUGCAUGGGAAUCUGCCCGAUAGUGGGGGAUAACCUGGGGAAACCCAGGCUAAUACCGCAUACGUCCUACGGGAGAAAGCAGGGGAUCUUCGGACCUUGCGCUAUCGGAUGAGCCCAUGUCGGAUUAGCUUGUUGGUGAGGUAAUGGCUCACCAAGGCGACGAUCCGUAGCUGGUCUGAGAGGAUGAUCAGCCACAUCGGGACUGAGACACGGCCCGAACUCCUACGGGAGGCAGCAGUGGGGAAUAUUGGACAAUGGGCGAAAGCCUGAUCCAGCCAUGCCGCGUGUGUGAAGAAGGCCCUCGGGUUGUAAAGCACUUUCAGUGGGGAAGAAAGCCUUGGGAUUAAUACUCCCGAGGAAGGACAUCACCCACCAGAGAGACCGU
rnacentral:rRNA from 1 species